GGUGGAGGAGGGGCCGGCCGAAGCCCCGCCCACUCGCGCGGGGGGCGUGAGGGCGCUGCUGCAGGCGCGCAUUCUGGCUGUCCCCAGGCGCAGGCUACGGUCUCGCAGGCCCACGCCAGGGAUGCUCCGGAGACCCCAGAGUCCCGAAUUUGGAUCCGUUAAGAUGGUCCGGCCUUCCUUCUCAGGCAUGCCUUGGAGAUACUGUGGGCUUGGUUCCAGACCAUGGCAGUAAAGCAAAUAUGGCCAUAAAAUGAGUCAAGGUGUUGGAGAAGGUCACUGAAAGGACGUGACCUCUAUUUGAUUCUUGAACUGGACCUGGGCAAUCUGAGGCUCCUCAUCCCUUCUUCUGUCCCUGGCAUGUGCAUUAUCCUUGCCUUCCCACACUAGAAGCUGAACCAAAGACAGAGCCUUAAGAUAGUAAUGUGUUAUUGAGACCAUAUGGACAUAUAUGUGACUAAGCCCAUUUAAGGCCUCUGUAUAAAUUUCAGGAUUCUGGAAGGCAGUUGAAAAGGUCUACUUGUCUUGUAGCCACCCAAGACAAGCCUCAUGUGCAAGUUCCCUUGUUUAUUAAACCUGCA